CAGGUACGGAGCCGAAGCGAAAGCGAGUCUGAAUAGGGCGAUGCAGUCAGUGGUAUUAGACGCGAAACCUUGUGAUCUACCCAUGGGCAGGUUGAAGCUUUGGUAACACAAAGUGGAGGACCGAACCGGUUGACGUUGAAAAGUCUUCGGAUGACCUGUGGGUAGGGGUGAAAGGCCAAUCAAACUGGGAAAUAGCUCGUACUCCCCGAAAUGCAUUUAGGUGCAGCGUUUAGUAAAGUAUAUUAGAGGUAGAGCUACUGAUUGGAUGCGGGGGCUUCACCGCCUACCAAUUCCUGACAAACUCCGAAUGCUAAUAUAUGUUUCUAGGCAGUGAGGGCAUGGGUGCUAAGGUCCAUGUCCGAGAGGGAAAGAACCCAGACCAUCAGCUAAGGUCCCCAAAUAUAUGCUAAGUUGAAAAAACGCGGUUGGAUUGCAUAGACAGCUAGGAUGUUAGCUUGGAAGCAGCUAUUCAUUUAACGAGUGCGUAACAGCUCACUAGUCGAGCGAUCCGGCAUGGAUAAUAAUCGGGCAUAAGCAUAUUACCGAAGCUAUGGAUUACAUCUUUUGAUGUACUGGUAGGGGAGCAUUCUAUCGACGUUGAAGUCACCUGGUAAUGGGUGGUGGAGUUUAUAGAAAAGAAAAUGUAGGCAUGAGUAACGAUAAAAUAAGUGAGAAACUUAUUCGCCGUAAGACUAAGGUUUCCUAAGCUAUGCUAAUCAGCUUAGGGUUAGUCGGGACCUAACACGAACCCGAAGGGGGUAGUGGAUGGCAAACGGGUUAAUAUUCCCGUACCUGCUCUCAACAAAAGUGACGGAUGAUUGUAGGUGGUGCGUACUGACGGAAUAGUACGUUGAACUUAGGUAAACUAAGGAUAGUACACCAAGGCUUCGGCUGGCGUGAUAAUCCACUGAAAAUUGUCCCUAGAAAUAGCGAGAGAAGCAGCCCGUACCGUAAACCGACACAGGUGGUCGAGGAGAGUAUCCUAAGGCGCUCGAGUGAGUCAUGGUUAAGGAAUUAGGCAAAAUAGUCUCGUAACUUCGGGAGAAGAGACGCUGGCGCAAGUCAGCCGCAGUAAAAAGGCCCAGGCGACUGUUUAUCAAAAACACAGGACUCUGCAAAAUCGAAAGAUGACGUAUAGGGUCUGACACCUGCCCGGUGCUGGAAGGUUAAGGAAGGGGGUUAGAAGCAAUUCGAAGCUCUUAACUGAAGCCCCAGUAAACGGCGGCCGUAACUAUAACGGUCCUAAGGUAGCGAAAUUCCUUGUCGGGUAAGUUCCGACCUGCACGAAUGGUGUAACGAUCUGGGCACUGUCUCAACCAUGAGCUCGGUGAAAUUGUAGUAUCGGUGAAGAUGCCGGUUAAUCGCAACGGGACGAAAAGACCCUGUGAACCUUUACUAUAGCUUUGUAUUGACUUCGGGUAAAUAAUGUGUAGGAUAGGUGGGAGACUAUGAAGGAGCAUCGCUAGGUGUUUUGGAGUCAUUGUUGAAAUACCACCCUUUAUUUACUUGGAGCCUAACUUC
rnacentral:rRNA from 2 species